rnacentral:rRNA from 1 species
GACGAACGCUGGCGGCGGGCUUAACACAUGCAAGUCGAACGGAAAGGCCCUGCGUUUGUGGGGUGCUCGAGGGGCGAACGGGUGAGGAACACGUGAGUAACCUGCCCUUGACUUUGGGAGAACUUCAGGAAACGGGGGCUAAGACCGGAUAGGAUCUCCUGCUGCAGGGUGGGGGGGGGAACGUUUCGGCGGUUGGGGAUGGACUGGCGGCUGAUCGGCUUGUUGGUGGGGUAGUGGCUGACCAAGGCUUUGACGGGUAGCCGGCCUGAGAGGGUGACCGGCCACAUUGGGACUGAGGUACGGACCAGACUCCUACGGGAGGCAGCAGGGGGGAACAUUGCACAAUGGGCGGAAGCCUGAUGAAGAAACGCCGCGUGCGGGAUGACGGCCUUCGGGUUGUAAACCGCUUUCGCCUGUGACGAAGCGUGAGUGACGGUAAUGGGUAAAGAAGCACCGGCUAACUACGUG